rnacentral:tRNA from 1 species
GGGGUUGUGGCGUAACCUGGUAGCGCACAAGGCUCCAGACCUUGAAGUCAGGGUCCAAAUCCCUGCAACCCCA